ACUCUUUCUCUUCUUCUUCAAUCCUCUUCUUCUUCUUCUUCUUCUUCAAUCUUUAAACAAAAUCUUAUAUGGUAUCAGAGCAACAAUUAUUCAAGAACACACAUUGAUUCUUUAAACAAAUAUACAUUGAUUCUACAAACAAAUCCGCUGUUAAUUUCUCCAAGUACAUUUCUUGAUAUUCAUAUUAAUUCGUAUUGAUUUAUUUGAUAUUCUUUCUUCUUUAUAUCUUCUAUUUCUUUUUCAUUAAAACCCUAAAAAUUUCUAAGUCACAAUGGCUUAUACUCAUUCAUAGUUUGAUAAUCCUUUUAGUCAUUUUUAUUUACAUCCCAGUGAAAAUCCCUCUUUGGUUUUAGUAUCUCCAGUUUUGAAUGAUAAAAAUUAUCACUCUUGGGCAAGAUCUAUGACGAUGUGUCUACUCUCUAAGAAUAAAUAGAAGUUUGUUGAUGGCAGUAUUCCUGUUCCAUCAAAGAUUGAUCUAAUUCAUCCUGUUUGGAAAAGGUGUAAUACGAUGGUCCCUUCUUGGAUACUCAUGUCUGUUUCUCCUUCUAUUGCACAGAGUAUUCUUUGGAUUGAUUCUGCUUUAGAUAUAUGGAAAGACUUACAUGAUAGAUUUUCACAAGGAAAUGUUGUUAGAAUGUCAGAUUUACAAGAGGAAAUGUAUGCUUUUAAACUGAAUGCUUUAUCUGUUACUGAUUACUUUACACACUUAAAGAUUUUGUGGGAUGAAUAUUCAAAUCUAAGGGUAGUUCCAAUUUGUAGUUGCAAUCCUCAAUGAGUUGUGAUGCUUUAAAGCUUGUUAAAGAUCAACAUGAUGGAGACUACAUAAUACGUUUUUUAAAGAAUCUGUUCCAGUGUUUACCAAGGAUCAAUAUAAGCAAAUUAUGAGUAUGUUGCAGCAUAAUGUAGUAUCAGGCUCACCAAAGAUUAACACGGUUGCUUCAAACUUCAAAUAUGUUGAUACAGAUUCUGGAUCCUUUCAGUUGGAAGAUGAUUGGAUUAGCUAGAAAGACUCAAGGACUUUAUCAAAUUGAUAAAGCACUUUUUAAGACUGAUAUUUCUGUGAAUGCUGUGAUUAAUCCCAUGAUUGAUUCUGAGAUGAUGUGACUGAUGUUCCUGUUAUUACUUCUGAUAAAGUUUUUGUAGAUAAUAGUAGUUUUCUUUGGCAUAACAGGUUAGGACAUUUAGCAGAUUCUAGAUUGAAAUGUUUACAGACUAAUUGUUCUUCAAUAAAGUUACAUGUCAAUAAAUAUUGUAAAAUUUGCCAUUUAGCUAAGCAAAAGAAGAUUCCUUUUCCAAUAAGUA